CCAGUAUAGCUAAAUUACGGACGAGAGACUUGAACAAUUGCUCUCCGAACGUUUAUAUAACCACAACUUUCCCUUGGCGAUGACACGUAUUACAAUCUCAUUCAAAUAUGAUGGACUUUUUGUGAAAUUCCCAAAAAGGCAUAUCGUAUACAUUAUCUUGAUUUACGAGGAAUUUCAACAAUAGCUCUAACAUGUUAACUUCGAGGGAUCAGAGCUAUCAAACAUCAUAUUGAUACCGUUAAUCGACCCGUGGUUACAGUUAUCAGUUAAAGGUUUGGAUAAGGUCAUUCUUGUAUCAGUAAAUAGAGUAAUUUUGCGAGUUCCUUUACUCCUGGAUCUCGAAAUUUCGUGAAGAACGAUUAAAUAGUGUUCAAUUGAAGAAAGAAGUCUUGAUUGAUUACAUCCUCGUAUUAACGUCGCUAAAACACAGGUUGAGCGACUGAAAAGUAGGGAGAUGAAAUUCUAAGAAAAAGAAUGGAAUUCGAGAGCCAAGUUUUGCUGAUAUUCCACUUUGCAACCUAGACAAACAAGUUCGCAGUAUACUCAAGUUAACACUUUAUGGCAAAGAGUCUUACGUAAAAGGUGGUUUAAAACGAGACAGCCUUUAUCAUGAGAUGGCCUUAACAGAGUUGUUCCCACUGAAAAAAAAACAUAAAAAGGAUGGAAGCAGUUUGUUGAGCACCAACUUGCACACACUCGGUAAUCCAUGUUUCUGUUACAAUGUGCGCGAAACGUGUUCUCCUGUGCAUUAUCUGUUGAAUGACUGGUACCCUCGAGAAAUCCCUAUAGAAAAGAAAAUAUCAUAUGAAAAAGCUACAUCUGAAGUUGUUUAUCUCUUCUUCGUGAUUUCCUUCCAUACCGCGGGCUCGUGAUCACGUGACUGACUUCUUCGUCAAAAGUGUCACUUAUAUGUCCACCAUAAUAACGUAGCACAUAUGUCUGCACGUGAAGGCUACUGCUGGGUAGGCGCUAUUAAAGUGAGUCACCUGUAUGAUCUAAAGAGACCUAGGGUUGAGUUGGUGAUGUAUCUCUCUUCCACUUCAAUUAUGUCAUUUCUUGUCAACUUCACUACGUUUUGCUACAAGCACAAUGCAAAAACAUUGGAUUGGAUGAUUUUUCCACAUGAUUUCAUUUUCAAAAUUGAACUAAAGGUGAACCUACUCUUUCAUCUAAUUUUUUAAAAAUUUCCUUCAAAGUUUCAACGUUCAAGUCUUUGGUGAAACUGUCACCGUUCUCAUCGUACUCAAGAGAAAACUUCUCUAUUGUCUUCGAUGACAUGUGGAUCAUGUGACAUGGUAACCAUGGCACCAUCUGCUUGCGUUCCUGUUCAAUGAAGAGUUAAAUGAUAUCGUCUCCUAGCAAAUACUCUAGAGUCGAAGUUACGAUAAGCGAUGGUGUUUAGUAUAGAAAUAAGUCUUACUAAACUUUCCAACAACCAAGAUGCAUUAACAAUGUCAUAUAUCGUUUGUCUGUGGAGAGAUUCAAGAACAAUUGUCGAAAUGUUAUGGCAUUUCUUUCUAACGAUGUUGUGUUGCAACCAAUUAAUCAACUCACUUAAUUAUGUUAGUCACUCUGACGUUGCUCUUGUGAGCGAUGACGCAAUGCGUGUCUUUGCCAGGAUUUUGAACAACCUUUCCACCAUUCUUAGUUGAUAAACAUAAACACGUUGAGCAUUCAUCGAAGAGGGAGAGGAAGAACGUUUCAUUUACCUCUAAAAUCUUUCCCUCCAGUUCUACUUUGCCACAAUCUGGUGGACCAUUCACAAUGUAAAAUUCCUUGCCUUCAAAUAUCCGAGAUUUCUAUGUAAAAACAAAAAUGCACUUACAGGUCCGAGGUUAAUAAGUAUAUUCGAUUAGUACACAUGCUGUCAAAAAGAACUGCUGCUCACAGACACAAAGUAUGAUUUCAUUGGGUAACAUCUGGACAAAGUGCAAAAACAUUAGAUAUUAGAUACACAACAUCAAAUAACAGUAGCUAUAUUUAAUGACUAAUGGAGCCUCUUCUUGCUUUAGUUACAGCCUUGCAUCAGUUAGAAAUGCCGUCUAUUAAGUAAAUCAAUCUUUGAUAAUUAUCACCAUCAGACAUUACUAGACAAAACCGUAGCAGUUCUUUUUGACUGCCAGUGUAUCUCAACAAUAAAUGUGUUCGAUUUAACGGCAAGAUUGGGAGAUGUGGAUUUGGCAAGAACCGCUCGUUUUGCCUUUCUGUCAAAAGAAUUAACAAUUAAUACUAGUUAAAUGUGUUCUUUCACAUUAUCCAACUACCUCUUCUACAUUACUCGUGUUGGCAGCUGCAAAAUGUUUGGCAACUUUUAGCGGGCUCUCGAUUCGUGUCACUAUUCUCUUAUUCUUCUUCGUGACAUGUUCGUCACUGGUCGUGGCGUGUUGAUACGUCAGUUUGCCUUUUGCAAUCGUUCGUAUUCUCUCAAGUUCGUUAAUGUCCAGACACUCAUUCCAGGUUUUGUCAUCGCGGAUUUUCUCAACGCGAGGAAAACGUAACGUUUGACCUGUUUUGUAACUAGAGUUUGCAAAAUGAAUCUAAGUUGUAGCAGUGCUUACAAAAAGACUGAGAAAGUGCAAUGGAAUGUAAGGAAGUUGUACUGAACUUGUCAGAGGGAACAAUUUCUGCGGCUUUAACUUGAACUAUUUUAGAAUUCCGCGGUUCUAUCCAAACAUCAGGUUUCUCCUGAAUGAGAAAAGGAUCGUGAGGGACUUUAAGGAGCAUUUCGUGAACAAAUGAAUUCCAUCAAAAUGUCACCUUGAAACCGUUUGUGAACUCUAUCAUCGUGGGAGGUUUCUUUGCAUCAAAUUUUCUCCAGUAAGGAUCUAAAUGAUGAGACAGAUCUUUCAGUUCUUUAUUUGUAUAUCCCGAACCAACCUACGGACAAAGCAAAACUGAGAUAAUAUUCUCCCAAAUCUUGUCAGAAUAUCGUCGUGACGACAGAAGAAAAUGAAAACACACAUAGUGAAAGUUAUAAAACUACAUACUUUACAAAAUGAGUAAAACUUUGCUGCUUCUUCGUCGUGUAUCGAUGAAGGACAAGAUACACCACAUAAAAAAUGAGAAAUCAUUCCGCCACGUGACUUGUGAAGAAAAAGGGAAAAUCAUUAAUCAAUUUCAUUAAUAUCGUUUAUAAUAGUUGAAGCAACGACUGUCAUAAGUAACAUACCCCGCUACCAAAGUAUCCUCCAAUUAUAAUAACAUCCAACUUAAAAAUGAGAAUCACAGAAACUUUAUUAGAAAGCACCACAACAGUUUAGUGAAGUUGUAAUGAGACGAAUGGACUAAAAGCACCAGGAACGACAACUUAAUCGCGAUGUCUGAAGACAUAUAUGAUCGCUACCAUUGCUAGCCUGUGAUUACUCAUGCUUCAAACAAUCAAAUUUCAAGAAACAAAGUUUUUGAGUCUGACGCGAGAAAUUGAUCGCUCUUUACUAAUCACAUACAAAAGUAUACGAAUUAUCAUUUCAAGUGUCUCGAGUUCACUGAAUUAGACACGAGCAAUGUCGAAUGAACAGAUAAAAAUGCAAAUACCUCAUCUGCCAAACCGUUAACAUAUUCGGGUUUAAUUUUCAACCAUCCACUUCCUUUAAAACAAUGAAGAAUAAAAAUUUAACGACCAGCUGACCAAUUGUACUAGCAUAAGCCUCUUUAUAAGCCAAUCAUAUGUUUCCGUUACCAGUUAAAGGAUGUAAUGGUAGUUUAGGAGGUACCUUUAUUAUAUGAUUAACCCACCGUUUCUAAUAUUUGGUUGAUAUAUCGAUGAUGGUGACUUGAUUAGCAAACCUUCUUCGUACUUGUCAACAGCAUUGUUUAAUGCUACAAUAACAUCUUGUCUACAAGAAUAUUUUUAUCAAUCAAAAUCUUUAAGACUCUACUUUACAGACUAUUGUUAAUGAAGGAAGUUAUUGUCGUACCUCUUCGACGCUUGCUCACGCUGGACGCGUUCUAUUCUACCAGGAACUGCUGUGAAUAUCCUAUGUAAGAAAAUAAGUACGUUUAUACUUGUGUUACAUACGUACUCCUCUCUCCCGUCAAAAAAUCACAGCCUGUAGGAUCAGAUGUUUGUAUCCUAUUUUUCAUUCUUUAUCAUUCAAGGCUUUAUUUAAGGUCCAUUAUACUUCGUACAGUUUUGACCGUUUUCCAAUCACAGUUUAGACUGUAUUACAUAUGCAAUGUAAACUUACUUCUCUAGGUUUUGUAGUCGUUCUUUGAGAGGAAGACUAGCUAUACUUUUACCAUUCACAAAUAUAACAUCGAAAACGACGAAACAUGGAUGAAGACCUGAGAAUCGAAAAAGAAUGAAUGAAAAAAUUUCAUUGUUAUGAAAACAAAGACUUUUUUAUUCACCUGCAUUCGAUGAAUACGUCUUAGCACUUUUAAAAUCAAUGUUCUCUCCUUUUGAUCUGCAGAUGAAUAAUAAUUUGAUAUAUUUAAAAGAAUGAAGAAAGACAGCUAAGUGUCAUUUCUGGUAGAAAGAAACAAAGAGGAGUUUUUCCGCCACAUGUAGUGUAAGACAUAAGAAGAUUUACGUGACACAGUACAGGAAUUUUGCUUUGUUCGACGCAUCGAAAGCCAUCAUCUCUCCGUCAAGGAUGCAAGAUUUUACUUUACUGAAAUCAUACACAAAAAUAUCACAGUCACAUUGAAACAUAAGAAUUACUGACAUGAGAUGUGAAGGACAUUUUACUUCUAAAGAACUAAGUCACGUGUGUCUUGUCGCAUCGAGGAUCAAAAAACGUGGUUGCUGAAUUAUGGCCUGAGGCAUAGUGUUGUGAUUAGCUUUAUGCCAAUGCGCGAGCAACAUAAUUUUCGUGUUAAAAAAUGUGAAGCCGAGGUGUAAUCUUCCGCCAGUACCUGGGAAAACAGUCCGCAAUGAAGGGGGUAAGGUAUCCUUCCUUCGGUGAAGCUCCAAAGGUUGCAGUAUAAUCAUUAGAUCUGAAAUUUUUACUCUGAUAAAAUUUUUAAAUAACAACGAAAUACUUUCACGUGAUUUAUGAUGAACGAACCCUCGGGAGAAAUACUUGAACGUGUUCUCUUCACGAUGAAGCAUGAAUCUUUCACCGUCAAGUUUCGUUUCAAUGUAAAACUCAUCUACAUUCAUCAAUUUUUCCACCUACAUCAUGACGUUUAACAUUACAUCAUAUUUUAUGAACUGAAGACGAAGAGGUUUAUUGGAGUAGUUGUGAACAAAAAAGUUGUACCUCGUCAAUGGCCGCACGCUGUCCUAACAUCGGUUUGAAUGCUGAAAACAAUUUUAUAUCCGUAUCGCUUGUUCUCACCGUGGGGUCUCGCAAAUCUUCACACACCUUAUUAACAAAAAUCGUCAACAUUAGUGUUUCUGUGGAAAAACGUACUAUAACCUUCCUUUUUACCUUCGACAAUGAGCUACAAACGUUAUACAAUUCCAUUGCAUCUGGGUGAAAAACAUCGAAUACACUUUUGUCGCUGAUGCCUCCUUUUAGUUCCUAAAUGAUUCGACUCUUAAUCAAUAACACAGCUAUAAAUUGAAUGAUUUAGUAAAACGUUUUUGACUUCAAUGGUUACCUUCAAAAUGAUCCGAAUCAACCAUUUCUAAAAUUAAAAACAAGUCAAAAGUA